rnacentral:rRNA from 1 species
GAUGAACGCUGGCGGCGUGCCUAAUACAUGCAAGUCGAGCGAACGGACGAGAAGCUUGCUUCUCUGAUGUUAGCGGCGGACGGAUGAGUAACACGUGGAUAACCUACCUAUAAGACUGGGAUAACUUCGGGAAACCGGAGCUAAUACCGGAUAAUAUUUUGAACCGCAUGGUUCAAAAGUGAAAGACGGUCUUGCUGUCACUUAUAGAUGGAUCCGCGCUGCAUUAGCUAGUUGGUAAGGUAACGGCUUACCGAGGCAACGAUGCAUAGCCGACCUGAGAGGGUGAUCGGCCACACUGGAACUGAGACACGGUCCAGACUCCUACGGGAGGCAGCAGUAGGGAAUCUUCCGCAAUGGGCGAAAGCCUGACGGAGCAACGCCGCGUGAGUGAUGAAGGUCUUCGGAUCGUAAAACUCUGUUAUUAGGGAAGAACAUAUGUGUAAGUAACUGUGCACAUCUUGACGGUACCUAAUCAGAAAGCCACGGCUAACUACGUG